CGUGAUGCACGGAGUUUAAAGAGGGGUCCGGAGUGACUCGACGCGGUGGUAUAAAAGACGAGAAAUCAGUUAAGGUCGAACACUUGCCGCUAUCACCGUCGAGAAACCGCCGUGAAAUCCGCUUCGACGAACGUUUUUUCUGAAGAAAACAAAAAGGAAAACAGAAUCCAGGUGAAAAUGUCUAAGUUGAUGCUGUUCCUGUGUGUGGUUCUGUUGGCCAGCAGUUUGAUCGACGCGGCUCCAGAAUUGUGCGGUCGUUACGGCGAUCCGUGCACGAGCAGUCAGCAAUGCUGCGGUAACAUGACGUGUCUCCAAUACGCGAACAAAUGUCAAGUGAUAAUCACGUCGGAGGAGCUGAUGAAGCAACGCGAGAAGAUUCUUGGCCGGAAGGGGAAGGAUUAUUAAUCGAUUACUCGUCGCGUGAACCAGAUCGAUCUUCGUCGAAGAAAAUUAUCAACGUUUAAGGAAAAAAAUCUACGUUCCAGUUCUUGACCCUUUCGUUACUAUAGGCGUUUAUGAAAACUCGCUGGAAAUAAAACCAACAAUUUAAAAAUGUCGAGUGUGUCUCGACGUAGGAGUACCAGUGAAUAAAGUUGCUGUCGAGUCACACUCGACAAUGGAGUUGAAAGGGUUAAAAGGAUACACCCGAAAGAACAAAUUUCGCAAUCGUGAUUAAACAUUUACCAUUAAUCUUCCUCGUUACUUACGCAGUAAAAUUUGCCGUGGCGAAAGGGUUAAGGAGAAAGCUAGAAAUCAGAAGGAGACGGAAGCACGCGUGUGUGGUUUCUCGUAGUUGUAUACGCUGAAAAGCAAGUGGACAAUAAAUAGAACGAAUCGAA